UCUAAUAGAGUUUGCCAUCCGCUGGGCCGUGCCAGACAGAUGGGUCAUGAAUACUGUCUAGACGCUCUCUGCCUGAGCGAAGCCCUGGUCUCUAAGGACACGCAAUGAGACGCCGGCUUAAGUAACUGGGGAAAGUCAGGGCAAGCUCUCCUGUAAUCAGAUAGAAAUCAAUGUGAUCCUGCUUCCUCCUGUAUUGCCUCUGGAUUCCUCU
rnacentral:lncRNA from 1 species